rnacentral:rRNA from 1 species
CCUACGGGGGGCUGCAGUGGGGAAUAUUGGGCAAUGGGCGCAAGCCUGACCCAGCAACGCCGCGUGAAGGAAGAAGGCUUUCGGGUUGUAAACUUCUUUUGUCAGGGACGAAGCACGUGACGGUACCUGACGAAUAAGCCACGGCUAACUACGUGCCAGCAGCCGCGGUAAUACGGAGGUGGCAAGCGUUAUCCGGAUUUACUGGGUGUAAAGGGCGUGUAGGCGGGGAAGCAAGUCAGAUGUGACAACCACGGGCUCAACCUGUGGCCUGCAUUUGAAACUGUUUUUCUUGAGUACUGGAGAGGCAGACGGAAUUCCUAGUGUAGCGGUGAAAUGCGUAGAUAUUAGGAGGAACACCAGUGGCGAAGGCGGUCUGCUGGACAGCAACUGACGCUGCGUCGCGAAAGCGUGGGGAGCAAACAGGAUUAGAUACCCGGGUAGUC